GAUGAACGCUGGCGGCGUGCCUAAUACAUGCAAGUCGAACGCUUCACUUCGGUGAAGAGUGGCGAACGGGUUAGUAAUACAUAAGUAACCUGGCAUCUACAGGGGGAUAACUGAUGGAAACGUCAGCUAAGACCGCAUAGGUGUAGAGAUCGCAUGAACUCUAUAUGAAAAGUGCUACGGGACUGGUAGAUGAUGGACUUAUGGCGCAUUAGCUGGUUGGUAGGGUAACGGCCUACCAAGGCGACGAUGCGUAGCCGACCUGAGAGGGUGACCGGCCACACUGGGACUGAGACACGGCCCAGACUCCUACGGGAGGCAGCAGUAGGGAAUUUCCGGCAAUGGGGGAAACCCUGACCGAGCGACGCCGCGUGAAGGAAGAAGUAAUUCGUUAUGUAAACUUCUGUCAUAGAGGAAGAACGGUGGAUAUAGGGAAUGAUAUCCAAGUGACGGUACUCUAUAAGAAAGCCACGGCUAACUACGUGCCAGCAGCCGCCGUAA
rnacentral:rRNA from 1 species